rnacentral:rRNA from 1 species
AGAACGAACGCUGGCGGCAUGCCUAACACAUGCAAGUCGAACGAGACCUUCGGGUCUAGUGGCGCACGGGUGCGUAACGCGUGGGAAUCUGCCCUUAGGUACGGAAUAACAGUGAGAAAUUACUGCUAAUACCGUAUGAUGUCUUCGGACCAAAGAUUUAUCGCCUAGGGAUGAGCCCGCGUUGGAUUAGCUAGUUGGUGGGGUAAAGGCCUACCAAGGCGACGAUCCAUAGCUGGUCUGAGAGGAUGAUCAGCCACACUGGGACUGAGACACGGCCCAGACUCCUACGGGAGGCAGCAGUGGGGAAUAUUGGACAAUGGGCGAAAGCCUGAUCCAGCAAUGCCGCGUGAGUGAAGAAGGCCUUAGGGUUGUAAAGCUCUUUUACCCGGAAGAUAAUGACUGUACCGGAGAAUAAGCCCGGCUAACUCCGUGCCAGCAGCCGC